GUAAAUGUAGAGCAACCACACCACUAGCACACUCCCCAUACCAGCGAACUAUGUCAUCAUCUAAAUACCAUACUGCUACCCAUUUUUCUCUCAUUCAGUUAUGUUUCUUUCCCUUUCUCGACUUUUUCUUUUUUCUAUGCACCAGAAAACACUAACAGUGGUUUCACUGUCGUUUCCGGACGGCAGACCACCAACUUGCACCACCUCGUCCCUUUCCUUGAUUUAAACCAGAAAAGCAUGAACGAGGCUUCAAUCUCGAAGCCAUACUGUGGAAACUUAGCCCAAUUUCGAGAUUCAAUUUUUCUGCAAACUUCUCAAUUUUUCAACCAAGAGAUACCUCAGGGAAACACUCCCUAGUUUUCCGAUAGUGGACCCGCAAAUUUCAGGAGAUUUUCAGGCCAUUUCUCAGCCAUGGCUUGGCUAAUAAAGCAACUGGCUACCCCACGAUCAAAUCGAGUUAACCCAACCCGCAACCCAGAACCAGUUCCAAACCUGGAUCUGCAAACCAACCCAAAACUGAAUCCGACCCAGAUUCGACCCGGACCUAUUUCUGAAUCCAACUAGAAUAUUCUUUGGAAUAUUCCGUUAACUUCUAAUUAACUUUAAUAGAAUAUUUCGUCCGAUGAUGGAAUAUUCUGUUAAAGUUGAUUGUUGAUCGUUAAUUGACUUUUGUUGAUUUUUUCCAAAUUUCUCUUGGACCCCUUGUAAACACGAAAAAUU